rnacentral:rRNA from 1 species
UGGGCAACCUGCCCUCAGCUCUGGGACAACUCCGGGAAACCGGGGCUAAUACCGGAUACGACCUUCCCUCGCAUGGGGGUUGGUGGAAAGUUCUUCGGCUGAGGAUGGGCCCGCGGCCUAUCAGCUUGUUGGUGGGGCGAUGGCCUACCAAGGCGACGACGGGUAGCCGGCCUGAGAGGGCGACCGGCCACACUGGGACUGAGACACGGCCCAGACUCCUACGGGAAGCA